ACUGAAGGGGAAUGUAUGUGCAGGAUAACUGGUGUUCACAGAAUCGCCGUGGGUCCCAGUGAAGGAAUGACCAGUGGCCAAGGCUGCACCAGAGGACUGAAAAAUAGGAAACUUAACAAGUCAGGUUGCUGUUUAGCAAAUGCCCAAACACCGAAUGUUUGUUCCAUUCUUAUGUUUCUCAAAGUUCAAAGUCCUGAGCUCAUAUAUCCCACUGACUAAGCAUUGGUUACAGUCUCACUCUGUGACUCCGCAUAGUGGAAGGACAAGGAUUUUGGCCCCUUUAGUUCCGACCCCUGCUUUUAACCAUCCUAUUCAUGAUAUUUUUUUUAGUGAUAGAGAGGUUAAUUUCCUGAAAGGAAACUUGAAUGUUGGGAAGGAAUAAUGAGUUUUGAGUUGCAUACACAAGCACACAUACAGUACACACACACAGGCGAAUUUCCGAUGUGGGAAUGGUAUGGAGGUUUUGGGAAAACCCAACCACAAAAGCUGAUGUUUUUAUGAUGAGAUUGUAAAAUAUAAAGAUUUUAGGACAAGGAGAAGUGAAUAGAAAAGGUACAUCUUUUUUUAAUGUAGGACAUACAUUAAGGAUAAACUGAAAAGAUAGAGGAUCAUAAACAGCAACAGCAAGUUGGUCAUGGACAAUAAAUUCUAAAAACCUUUGUCAUAUCUGGACCAAUGCACAUAAAUUAAACAGUUUUGCGGGCCGGGUAUGGUGGCUUAUGCCUGUAAUCGCAGCACUUUGGGAGGCUGAGGCAGGAGGAUUGCUUGAGCCUAUUGAACUAUGAUGACACCACUGCACUCCAGCCUGGGCAACAGAGCAAGACCCUGCCUUUAAAAAACAAACAAAAACAGUAUUUGGGUCAUAGAUUAUGGAAAUAGAGUGAGUAAUGUGUAAGAACAUCUGAACUUGUGACCUUGAGUCAUUUCAUCUCUCCCUAUGAACUCUAACACUGAGCUUCAGUUAUAUAAACUGUUAAUAUUUGUAAUAUGUUAUGGGUUUGUGCUUUAGUUGGGGAAAGUUUCCAGGGAGAGUGGAUCUAGUGUGUUUUCAAAGUUCAUUUUAAUCUGUUUUGUAAAAAAAUGUAAAACACAUAUAACCUAAAAUUAAGCAUCUUAAUUUCAUCUUAUCUAUUUCUAAUUGUACAAUUCACUAGUGUUACAUAUAUUCACAAUGUUUUGAAGCAGAUCUUCAAAAAAUUUUCAUCUUGUAAAUUUCAAACUCUGUAUACAUUAAGCAACUGUGUUUUCUCCCCUAUCCCCAUCCCCCUGGUAGCCACUGUUCUACUUUUCGUUGUUGUUUUUUUUGUUUGUUUUUUUGUUUGUUUGUUUGUUUUUUGUUUUUUUUGAGACGAAGACUCAUUCUGUCACCCAG
rnacentral:lncRNA from 1 species